rnacentral:rRNA from 1 species
GAUGAACGCUGGCGGCGUGCCUAAUACAUGCAAGUCGAGCGAAUGGAUUGAGAGCUUGCUCUUAUGAAGUUAGCGGCGGACGGGUGAGUAACACGUGGGUAACCUGCCCAUAAGACUGGGAUAACUCCGGGAAACCGGGGCUAAUACCGGAUAACAUUUUGAACCGCAUGGUUCGAAAUUGAAAGGCGGCUUCGGCUGUCACUUAUGGAUGGACCCGCGUCGCAUUAGCUAGUUGGUGAGGUAACGGCUCACCAAGGCGACGAUCAGUAGCUGGUCUGAGAGGAUGAUCAGCCACAUUGGGACUGAGACACGGCCCAGACUCCUACGGGAGGCAGCAGUAGGGAAUCUUCCGCAAUGGACGAAAGUCUGACGGAGCAACGCCGCGUGAGUGAUGAAGGCUUUCGGGUCGUAAAACUCUGUUGUUAGGGAAGAACAAGUGCUAGUUGAAUAAGCUGGCACCUUGACGGUACCUAACCAGAAAGCCACGGCUAACUACGUGCCAGCCGCCGCUGUAA